rnacentral:rRNA from 1 species
CCUACGGGAGGCAGCAGUGGGGAAUAUUGCACAAUGGGGGAAACCCUGAUGCAGCAACGCCGCGUGAGUGAAGAAGUAUUUCGGUAUGUAAAGCUCUAUCAGCAGGGAAGAAGAAAGACGGUACCUGACUAAGAAGCCCCGGCUAACUACGUGCCAGCAGCCGCGGUAAUACGUAGGGGGCAAGCGUUAUCCGGAUUUACUGGGUGUAAAGGGAGCGUAGACGGCUGUGCAAGUCUGAAGUGAAAGCCCGUGGCUCAACCGCGGAACUGCGUUGGAAACUGCAUAGCUGGAGUACUGGGGAGGCAGGCGGAAUUCCUAGUGUAGCGGUGAAAUGCGUAGAUAUUAGGAGGAACACCAGUGGCGAAGGCGGCCUGCUGGACAGAAACUGACGUUGAGGCUCGAAAGCGUGGGGAGCAAACAGGAUUAGAUACCCCUGUAGUC